UAACGAAUCUUCCGCAAUGCGCGAAAGCGUGACGGAGCAAUGCCGCGUGCAGGAUGAAGCCCUUCGGGGUGUAAACUGCUGUCAGGGAUUAGGAACCCAAUGACCAAUCCCAAAGGAAGAGACGACUAACUCUGUGCCAGCAGUCGCGGUAAUACAGAGGUCUCGAGCGUUAGUCGGAAUCACUGGGCUUAAAGCGUACGUAGGCGGAUAUGCAGGCGUCGUGUGAAAUCCCUCAGCUCAACUGAGGAACUGCACGGCGAACCGCAUGUCUUGAGACAAGUAGGGGCGGUCGGAACGGUAGGUGGAGUGGUGAAAUGCGUUGAUAUCUACCGGAACGCCGAAGGUGAAGACAGGCCGCUGGGCUUGUUCUGACGCUGAGGUACGAAAGCGUGGGGAGCGAACGGGAUUAGAUACCCCCGUAGUCC
rnacentral:rRNA from 1 species